rnacentral:rRNA from 1 species
UGGGGAAUAUUGCGCAAUGGGCGAAAGCCUGACGCAGCAACGCCGCGUGAGUGAUGAAGGCCUUCGGGUCGUAAAGCUCUUUUUACCAGGGACGAUAAUGACGGUACCUGGAGAAUAAGCCCCGGCAAACUUCGUGCCAGCAGCCGCGGUAAGACAGGGGAUACAAGUAUUACUCGGAAUUACUGGGCGUAAAGCGUCUGUAGGCGACCAAGCAAGUCGGGGGUGAAAGUCCAAAGCUCAACUUUGUGAUUGCCCUGGAAACUGCUUGGAUUGAGCCACUGAGAGGCACCUGGAAUGCCAUGUGGAGGAGUAAAAUCCGUAGAGACAUGGUGGAACGCCAAAAGCGAAGGCAGGGUGCUAGCGGUCGGCUGACGCUGAGAGACGAAAGCGUGGGGAGCAAAGGGGAUUAGAUACCCUGGUAGUCCCUGAGCGGGCUGGCAAGGCGCAU